CCUACGGGAGGCAGCAGUGGGGAAUAUUGGACAAUGGGCGAAAGCCUGAUCCAGCCAUGCCGCGUGUGUGAAGAAGGCCUUCGGGUUGUAAAGCACUUUCAGUGGGGAAGAAAGCCUUGGGGCUAAUACCCUCGAGGAAGGACAUCACCCACAGAAGAAGCACCGGCUAACUCCGUGCCAGCAGCCGCGGUAAUACGGAGGGUGCGAGCGUUAAUCGGAAUUACUGGGCGUAAAGCGCGCGUAGGCGGUCUGAUAAGCCGGUUGUGAAAGCCCCGGGCUCAAUCUGGGAACGGCAUCCGGAACUGUCAGGCUAGAGUGCAGGAGAGGAAGGUAGAAUUCCCGGUGUAGCGGUGAAAUGCGUAGAGAUCGGGAGGAAUACCAGUGGCGAAGGCGGCCUUCUGGACUGACACUGACGCUGAGGUGCGAAAGCGUGGGUAGCAAACAGGAUUAGAUACCCCAGUAGU
rnacentral:rRNA from 1 species